AGGGGUGAGGUGUGAGAGAACUGACUAGAGAGGAAAAUCAGUCUGGCGGCAGCAUUCAUUACAGACUGUAGCGGGGCAAUACAGCUUUUGGGAAGACCAAUUAGGAGAGGGUUACAAUAAUCCAUGCGGGAAAUUACUAGAGCACGGACAAGCUCCUUGGUAGCAUCUUGUGUAAGAAAGGGGCAGAUGUGGGCUAUGUUUUUAAGAUGGAAUCUACAGGAUUUG